rnacentral:snRNA from 1 species
AACCACUUCGGUGGUCAUCCGUAAAAAUUGGAACGAUACAGAGAAGAUUAGCAUGGCCCCUGCGUAAGGAUGACACGCAUAAAUCGAGAAGUAUCGCACUUUUUG